rnacentral:rRNA from 1 species
UGGGUUUAGACCCACGGCGAACGGGUGAGUAAUAUCUAGGAACGUAUCUUGAGUUGAGCAUAACCCAUCGAAAGGUGGGACAAUUCUCAAUGUGGCCGCAAGGCUAAAGUCGCAAGACGCUCAAGAAGCGGCCUGGACACCAUCAGCUAGUUGGUAAGGUAAAGGCUUACCAAGGCUAUGACGGUUAGGGGCCCCGAGAGGGGAGACCCCCACACUGGAACUGCGACACGGUCCAG